GAAUGCUGAGUGUUGACAUUUAUUAUCUGCUCUAAAGUUGAUACUUAUCACCACUUGAGCUCUAGGAUUACUCUGAAUACUC
rnacentral:snoRNA from 1 species